AUUGAACGCUGGCGGCAGGCUUAACACAUGCAAGUCGAGCGGGGUGAUGGUGCUUGCACUAUCACUUAGCGGCGGACGGGUGAGUAAUGCUUAGGAAUCUGCCUAUUAGUGGGGGACAACAUCUCGAAAGGGAUGCUAAUACCGCAUACGUCCUACGGGAGAAAGCAGGGGAUCACUUGUGACCUUGCGCUAAUAGAUGAGCCUAAGUCGGAUUAGCUAGUUGGUGGGGUAAAGGCCUACCAAGGCGACGAUCUGUAGCGGGUCUGAGAGGAUGAUCCGCCACACUGGGACUGAGACACGGCCCAGACUCCUACGGGGGGCAGCAGUGGGGAAUAUUGGACAAUGGGGGGAACCCUGAUCCAGCCAUGCCGCGUGUGUGAAGAAGGCCUUGUGGUUGUAAAGCACUUUAAGCGAGGAGGAGGCUACUUUAGUUAAUACCUAGAGAUUGUGGACGUUACUCGCAGAAUAAGCACCGGCUAACUCUGUGCCAGCCGCCGCCGUAA
rnacentral:rRNA from 1 species